AGUAGUAUAAUGUAAUAGGUAACAUAUAAAACUCAUGAUUUUAUUAUGAUAGUUCGAGUCUGUCUACUACAC